rnacentral:rRNA from 1 species
CCCUUAGACGUUCUGGGCCGCACGCGCGCUACACUGAACAGUUCAACAAGUCUUAACCUUGGCCGAUAGGUCUGGGUAAUCUUUGAACGCUGUUCGUGAUUGGGAUAGACCUUUGCAAUUAUGGGUCUUCAACGAGGAAUUCCUAGUAAACGCAAGUCAUCAGCUUGCAUUGAUUACGUCCCUGCCCUUUGUACACACCGCCCGUCGCACCUACCGAUUGAAUGGUCCGGUGAAAUCUCGGGACGGCGGCUUGGUCGCUUGCGUCCGACUGCUGAAACUUGAUUAAACCAUNUNAUUUAUNGGAAGGUGAANUCGUANCA